UACGUAGGGGGCAAGCGUUGUCCGGAUUUACUGGGCGUAAAGGGCGUGCAGGCGGUUUGUCUAGUCUAGGGUGAAAGCUCCCGGCUUAACUGGGAGAGGUCCUUGGAUACUGGCAAACUUGAGGGAGGCAGAGGAAAGUGGAAUUCCCGGUGUAGUGGUGAUAUGCGUAGAUAUCGGGAGGAACACCAGUGGCGAAGGCGGC
rnacentral:rRNA from 1 species